GGGACGUCCUGUGUGGCUGCAACAGGGGCUGUGGGUGGAUUCUGGCUCCAUGUGGUCUCCUUGUCUGGUAAAUGCUGGUAGCGGCUCGCUGCUCUUGCCUCGUCUCACUGGUUGCAUGAACAGGUGCUGUACCAUAAGGAUCAAGUCCAUCACCUCCAUUGGCUCCCUUCCGUCUGCAUGACCUCUGCUGCUUUGUCCUGCUUCAAGUUCCUGUCCGUCCGUGCAGCUGUUUCCCGGCUCGGGUUUGGCUGGCUCCGGCGUGCUGCGGUGCUUUGCUGCCGUCCGUCCUAUUGCGCUUGUCGCCCACCUGUGGUUGGUUCGUUCGC